rnacentral:rRNA from 1 species
CCUUUUCGGUUUGGAACAACUCGGGGAAACCCGUGCUAAUUCCGGAUACGCCCUUACGGGGAAAGAUUUAUCGCCGAAAGAUUAGCCCGCGUUGGAUUAGCUAGUUGGUGAGGUAAAGGCUCACCAAGGCGACGAUCCAUAGCUGGUUUGAGAGAACGACCAGCCACACUGGGACUGAGACACGGCCCAGACUCCUACGGGAGGCAGCAGUGGGGAAUCUUGGACAAUGGGCGCAAGCCUGAUCCAGCCAUGCCGCGUGAGUGAUGAAGGCCUUCGGGUUGUAAAACUCUUUUGGCGGGGACGAUAAUGACGGUACCCGCAGAAUAAG